rnacentral:rRNA from 1 species
GUGGAGCAUGUGGCUUAAUUUGACUCAACGCGGGGAAUCUUACUAGGUCAGGACCGAUUCAUGAAUGUCACCCGUAGUAUAUCAAUACUUUUGGUGUCGCCGGUACAUGAUUGUUGGAUGAGUGGUGCAUGGCCGUUCUUAGUUCGUGGUGUGAUUCGUUGGAUUAAUUUGUUUCGAUUCUACGCCUCUGCGGGCAAAAGAACGUAAAAACGAACGAGACCGUGGCCUGUAUUUGUUUCGAGCGCGCGAAACUAAAACUACAGGGACAGGGGAACAAUACUACUACACACCAGGAAGGGCACGGCAAUAACAGGUCUGUGAUGCCCUCAGAUGUUCUAGGCCGCACACGUGCUACAAUUGAUUCCCCAGUCAAUUAAGUAGUGCGUGUGUUGUGAGAUCCCCCGCGUCGAGUCUAAAUUUAAGUCCACUAGUUGAGAUUGCCGAUUGUAAUUAUUCGGUACCACAACUAGGAAUGCCUCGUACGGUGGGAUCAACGAGUUCCAUUGGAAUCCGUCCCUGCCCUUUGUACACACCGCCCGUCGCUCUUACCGAUGGCGGUGGUUUCGAAUGUCACCGAGUGGGUCGAGGGUUUAAUAUACUCGCGACUCGCAACGUAACGUAAGAAACCGCCGCUAAAGGAAAGAGAAGUCGUAACAAGGCAUCG